AUGACUAGGGAUAACCUUAGGAAGAGACACAUCAUCAAACCCCUUGAUUGUGUUUACUGCUUGGAACAAGAGUCUUGUUCUCACCUAUUUUUUGAAUGUAUAGUUGCUAAACAUCUCUGGGCCCACAUUGAGGAAUAUUUCUCUAGUCAGAUUGGCUCAUCCUUCGAAUCUGUCGCCAGAUUCUGGAUUGCUACCAAAAAGUGCUCAGUUUUAAACACUGUUAGCUCAGCUAUCCUUUGGUGCCUCUGAAAAUAUAGAAAUGCUAUGAUUUUCAGUAACACCUCCUGGAUUUCCAUUCCGCAGGUCUUGAGGUUGAUCAGGAACAUGGUGAGGAACUGGGCGAUUCUCUCCUCCGGAUCGGACAAGGACAAGUUGAUGAGCUUCAUGGAAACCCUAACAAGAUCCCUCCAGAAACCGUUGGCGAUCACUUGUGGCUGA
rnacentral:rRNA from 1 species